UUUGGAUGAUUUCACCUGUGAAAAAAUAGGGUCUGGCUUCUUUUCUGAAGUGUUCAAGGUACGACACCGAGCUUCUGGUCAGGUGAUGGCUCUUAAGAUGAACACGUUGAACAGUAACCGGGCAAACAUGCUGAAAGAAGUACAGCUCAUGAAUAGACUCUCCCAUCCCAACAUCCUUAGGUCCUAGUCCAAUGAAGGUUGGGUAGAGGUGGAAGGAGAGCUCAUUUUCACCUAGAAGAGGGCCUCAGGUUCCUCCACUGGAUCUUCUGCAUCUGCUGGCAGAUGAAGGAAGAAGCUGUGGAAAAUAGUGUUGAGGUUUUAUGGAACAGGCCUAGAAAUGACAUAAUCACUUCUGCCCAUAUACCACUGGCCAGAACUUAGUGUUACAGUCUUAACCAACUAUAAUGAACACUGGGAAAUGUAAUCUA
rnacentral:sRNA from 1 species